GGUGGCAGUGAACCAAGAUCAUGCCAUUUUACUCCGGCCUGGGCAGCAAGAGUGAAACUCCAUCUUGAAAAAAAAAAAAUCAGAACCUCAUCACAACAGCCACCAUGCAAUGGCCCAGCAGCUUUCUGUUCAUGCAGCGGAGAGAUUUCCAUCCCCGCAGAAUGCUCUUUCACAUCUGCUGUGAGCCUGGCUGAGGGGCCGAUUGUUGGACUCCCCUAAGUCAAAGCGUACACAUCAAAGUGGGAAUCUCAGGGCUAUGAGAUUGGAGGUGAGACCUAUAAUGGGCCAGUCGAAGGAAAAAGUUGAAACGUGGUUCCUUCAGUUCCUGUUUCUCACUUGAAGGCUGACAAGUGUGAGCAAUGCCUUUCUAGAGACCUCUGAUGCCACAGAGCCCAGGGAGAGUCUGACAACACUGAGGGAAGGGCAGAGUGAUCUCGUGUAACCCAGUGUGGCCUCACCUGGAGUAGAAGGGUCAGCGAGUUGCUCUCUGGAAUAACUUCUUGUGGAGUUUUUGUCUCUAAAGAUUGGCCAAUCGACACCGUCCAUGAGGGCAGCUGCAAUGAGGCAGACCUGCGGGUGGAGAAUGAUACUCUAGGAGGAUCUCUGGGAGCAGUUGGGUGACACUUGUUAUUUUGGAACCUAGGAAAAGGGUGAGGAAGUCAGAAUCAAAGGAAAUAUGUGUAGAAGUCUGAUUUGUUCCUUUUGUAUUUUAAUAAGAUAGAGGUGAGACAAUUUGUGUCCGUGGGCUUUGUGUGCUGUGUUUGUAACCUUUUUUUUUUUUUUCUUGCUCUGGUGUUUAAUGGUUACUUUCCAGAAGACCGGUUUGUCUUGUCUAUGUCACAGCAAACAUCGAAGCCUUGAUUUUUGAUUGGUUAAUAUCUUCUGGGACUUGGGAAUGCAAGUCUUAUUAGGUCCAGGCACUGACUAAGAUGUGAGGUAUCUGGUGAGACUCCCUCAUGCUCACUACUUGACCAUAGUUGUUUCUCUGAGAUAGUCUCAGAAUCUUCAGUCCCACACUCCAUAUGCCGCAUCCAGCAAAGCUCUCUGAGGGACUCACAGUCUCCAACCACCAGGGCACUGACAUUAACUCUGUGUCCUUUUAGGUUCCCCUGAGGACAGCCUGAGUUUAAAAUCUCUAUCACCAAGUGAGGAAGACAAUGAUUAUGCCCAGAUUUUACCAUCACAUGUCCAGGCUUCUCCAGAGGACAACCUGAGUUUAGUAACUCUACCACGGAGUGAAGAUUAUGAUGGCGGUGACGAUGAUGAUGAUUAUGAUGCCGCCCAGAUUUUACCAUCACGUGUCCAGGCUUCUCCUGAGGACAACUCACCACGAAGUGAAGAUGGUGAUUGUGAUGAUGAUGAUGAUGAGGAUGAUGAUGAUACCCAGAUUUUACCAUCACGUGUACAGGGUACGUAACUUGAACUCACUUUCUGAGAAACAAGUUUGCUGGCUUUAAUAUAUACAAACCUUAAUCUGGGUUCCUGUUAAAAAAUAUCGGGGGUCUGGUGAGAGCAAAUGAUUUUGCAAGUGUAUAGCUAUGAGCAGAGGGGCUGUAGAAAUGUGUGUGAACCCAGUGCAUCAACCAGGAGAUUUUGCGUGAGCCAGUGUGUCUUCACCUGGAGUAGGAGAAGUGAGGGACCUCUAACUGACUUAUCCUGAUGUUGGUGGUUCUAAAGAGUGGAUUCUGGAGAAUCUCAGCAGGGAAGAGGAUGCCUUUCCAGGUAGGUAACAAGACUUUCAGGUGGGAUCUAAUAAAACAGCGUUUCCAGGAGCCUUCAUGUUAUACCUGCUGCUUGGGAGACUGAGGGUUUAGAAAAAGUAAAUAUACGCCGAGUUUGUUCUUUUCAGAGUUUAACGUCAUCAUGGUGAGAAGUACUAUGUUUAUGAGCUUUUGAGUAUCCUGUGUUUUCAAUCACCUCUUCUUGCUUUAUUAUUUAAAGAUGAUUUUUCUGAGAACACCUGCUCUUUUCUGCCUCUGCCACUGCAAAAUGUCAGAGCCUUUGGUUUGGGAUGCAGUUCUGUCACAGGCAGUUACUUAAUCCUGGAGACAGAAUUCUUCUGUGGUGUGCCCAGAUGCAUAGGAGAAAUGGAUCCUCACCAUAUGAACUGUUAGGUUUCAUGGCAGCACAUUCAUU